UACGUAGGGGGCAAGCGUUGUCCGGAUUUAUUGGGCGUAAAGAGCGUGUAGGCGGCCAGGUAGGUCCGUUGUGAAAACUCGAGGCUCAACCUCGAGCCUGCAUUCGAUACUGGGCGGCUAGAGUCUGGUAGGGGGAUCUGGAAUUCCUGGUGUAGCGGUGGAAUGCGCAGAUAUCAGGAGGAACACCGGUGGCGAAGGCGGGAUCCUGGGCCAGUACUGACGCUGAGGAGCGAAAGCGUGGGGAGCAAACAGG
rnacentral:rRNA from 1 species